rnacentral:lncRNA from 1 species
GGGGAUUUAACGCGCGACCAGAUUUUAAGGGUUAUAAUUUUAGCGAGUUUUCUGUGUGCAUUGUUUUUUUCUCCUAAAAUAGUCUAAGUUCUGUUCUUUUUUCUUUUGGUAUACUAAUGAUGAGCUUGUAGGCCUUGAUUUCUUUUAUUUGCAUGAUUCUUGUACUAUUAAAUUAUAAAAUUGACAAAAUAACUGAAGAAUAGAGAAAAAUGGCAUUAAAAAUAAAGGAUUCAAAGUAGAGACCACCCCUCC